CGCUAGCUACAGGCUUAACACAUGCAAGUCGAGGGGCAGCAUGGUCUUAGCUUGCUAAGGCCGAUGGCGACCGGCGCACGGGUGAGUAACACGUAUCCAACCUGCCGUCUACUCUUGGACAGCCUUCUGAAAGGAAGAUUAAUACAAGAUGGCAUCAUGAGUCCGCAUGUUCACAUGAUUAAAGGUAUUCCGGUAGACGAUGGGGAUGCGUUCCAUUAGAUAGUAGGCGGGGUAACGGCCCACCUAGUCUUCGAUGGAUAGGGGUUCUGAGAGGAAGGUCCCCCACAUUGGAACUGAGACACGGUCCAAACUCCUACGGGAGGCAGCAGUGAGGAAUAUUGGUCAAUGGGCGAGAGCCUGAACCAGCCAAGUAGCGUGAAGGAUGACUGCCCUAUGGGUUGUAAACUUCUUUUAUAAAGGAAUAAAGUCGGGUAUGGAUACCCGUUUGCAUGUACUUUAUGAAUAAGGAUCGGCUAACUCCGUGCCAGCAGCCGCGGUAAUACGGAGGAUCCGAGCGUUAUCCGGAUUUAUUGGGUUUAAAGGGAGCGUAGAUGGAUGUUUAAGUCAGUUGUGAAAGUUUGCGGCUCAACCGUAAAAUUGCAGUUGAUACUGGAUAUCUUGAGUGCAGUUGAGGCAGGCGGAAUUCGUGGUGUAGCGGUGAAAUGCUUAGAUAUCACGAAGAACUCCGAUUGCGAAGGCAG
rnacentral:rRNA from 1 species